rnacentral:rRNA from 1 species
CAGGACGAACGCUGGCGGCGUGCCUAACACAUGCAAGUCGAACGGGGAUUUGUUUCGGCAGAAUCCUAGUGGCGAACGGGUGAGUAACGCGUAGGCAACCUGCCCUCCGGCCGGGGACAACACUCCGAAAGGGGUGCUAAUACCGGAUACGAAGUCUGUGCCGCAUGGUACGGAUUUGAAAGAUGGCCUCUAUUUAUAAGCUAUCGCCGGGGGAUGGGCCUGCGUCCGAUUAGCUGGUUGGUGGGGUAACGGCCCACCAAAGCGACGAUCGGUAGCCGUACUGAGAGGUAGAACGGCCACAUUGGGACUGAGACACGGCCCAGACUCCUACGGGAGGCAGCAGUGGGGAAUAUUGCACAAUGGAGGAAACUUCCUGAUGCAGCGAUGCCGCGUGAGGGAAGAAGGUUUUCGGAUUGUAAACCUCUGUAGUACGGGAACGAAAAAAUGACGGUACCGUACAAGAAAGCUCCGGCUAACUACGUGCCAGCCGCCGC